GCGGGUGUAGCGCAGUGGUAGCGCAUCGGCUUCCCAAGCCGUUGGUCGGGAGUUCGAAUCUCCUCACCCGCUCCA
rnacentral:tRNA from 12 species